GAAAGGGAUGUCUGGUUCCUUGUUUUGUUUGUGCAUGAGCUCUUUUCUAGGAAUUCUGUGGAAUUCCUAUUCUGUUAGAAGCCCAAGUUCAAAGCUAUGACACACAACAAGUUGAAUUCUUUACAUAUUUAAGAUCAAGUAUAACACCAUAUCUACACAAUUAUAUUGUUGAGUUGGGAUAUUUCAAUUCUCAGAAUGAUCUGAUAAAAUCAGCCUUGUGGUUUAGAUGUUUGAGGACCCAUUCUUUGAGAAGACAGCUGAAAACAUGUGUCACCAAGGAGAUGGUUGAUAGAGAUUCCAAAGAGGCUUCUAUGAUCUCAGAUGAAAGAGAAGAGACAGAAGAGAAGACAGAACAGCUCUUUGCUUCCUCAAGUAAAGUGACACAAGUUAGAAGUGGCAGACCAUUGGUGAGAACAUGAUCUAACCUAACUUCAAGAAAGUCUGGAAAAUACAGAGAUACAUGAAAUGUAUUUUAUAAUGGCUAGAGCUGGAAACACAUCAUGUAUCCAGAAGGAAAAGAGCGAGAAGAUUGCAGGAUCCUCAGACCUGGUAUUCCCAAACAGCUGAACCAGUAUCAGUACACCUCUGGAUUUCCCAUUACUUGAGAAAAAUAAACUCUUUCGUUUUAGCCAC
ensembl:lincRNA